UACGUAGGGGGCGAGCGUUGUCCGGAUUUAUUGGGCGUAAAGAGCGUGUAGGCGGUUCGGUAAGUCUGCCGUGAAAACCUGAGGCUCAACCUCGGGCGUGCGGUGGAUACUGCCGGGCUAGAGGACGGUAGAGGCGAGUGGAAUUCCCGGUGUAGCGGUGAAAUGCGCAGAUAUCAGGAGGAACACCGGUGGCGAAGGCGGGUCUCUGGGCCGAUACUGACGCUGAGGAGCGAAAGCGUGGGGAGCGAACAGG
rnacentral:rRNA from 1 species